GUCCACGCUGUAAACGAUGAAUACUAGGUGUGGGAGGGCUGACCCCUUCCGUGCCGCAGUUAACACAAUAAGUAUUCCACCUGGGGAGUACGACCGCAAGGUUGAAACUCAAAGGAAUUGACGGGGGCCCGCACAAGCAGUGGAUUAUGUGGUUUAAUUCGACGCAACGCGAAGAACCUUACCAGGAUUUGACAUCCAACUAACGAAGUAGAGAUACAUUAGGUGCCCUUCGGGGAAAGUUGAGACAGGUGGUGCAUGGUUGUCGUCAGCUCGUGUCGUGAGAUGUUGGGUUAAGUCCCGCAACGAGCGCAACCCCUAUUGUUAGUUGCUACGCAAGAGCACUCUAGCGAGACUGCCGUUGACAAAACGGAGGAAGGCGGGGACGACGUCAAAUCAUCAUGCCCCUUAUGUCCUGGGCUACACACGUAAUACAAUGGCCGUCAACAAAGGGAAGCAAAGCCGCGAGGUGGAGCAAACCCCCAAAAACGGUCUCAGUUCGGAUUGCAGGCUGCAACUCGCCUGCAUGAAGCUGGAAUUGCUAGUAAUCGUGG
rnacentral:rRNA from 1 species